CCUACGGGUGGCUGCAGUGGGGAAUAUUGGACAAUGGGGGGAACCCUGAUCCAGCCAUGCCGCGUGUGUGAAGAAGGCCCUCGGGUUGUAAAGCACUUUCAGUGAGGAAGAACGCCUGGUGGUUAAUACCCAUCAGGAAAGACAUCACUCACAGAAGAAGCACCGGCUAACUCCGUGCCAGCAGCCGCGGUAAUACGGAGGGUGCGAGCGUUAAUCGGAAUUACUGGGCGUAAAGCGCGCGUAGGUGGCUUGAUAAGCCGGUUGUGAAAGCCCCGGGCUCAACCUGGGAACGGCAUCCGGAACUGUCAAGCUAGAGUGCAGGAGAGGAAGGUAGAAUUCCCGAUGUAGCGGUGAAAUGCGUAGAGAUCGGGAGGAAUACCAGUGGCGAAGGCGGCCUUCUGGACUGACACUGACACUGAGGUGCGAAAGCGUGGGUAGCAAACAGGAUUAGAUACCCGAGUAGUC
rnacentral:rRNA from 1 species